rnacentral:rRNA from 1 species
AUAACGACUCUCGGCAACGGAUAUCUCGGCUCUCGCAUCGAUGAAGAACGUAGCGAACUGCGAUACUUGGUGUGAAUUGCAGAAUCCCGUGAACCAUCGAGUCUUUGAACGCAAGUUGCGCCCAAAACCUUUGGUCGAGGGCACGUUUGCCUGGGUGUCACA